AUUGAACGCUGGCGGCAGGCCUAACACAUGCAAGUCGAGCGGAUGAAGGGAGCUUGCUCCUGGAUUCAGCGGCGGACGGGUGAGUAAUGCCUAGGAAUCUGCCUGGUAGUGGGGGAUAACGUCAGGAAACGGGCGCUAAUACCGCAUACGUCAUGAGGGAGAAAGUGGGGGAUCUUCGGACCUCACGCUAUCAGAUGAGACUAGGUCGGAUUAGCUAGUUGGUGGGGUAAAGGCCUACCAAGGCGACGAUCCGUAACUGGUCUGAGAGGAUGAUCAGUCACACUGGAACUGAGACACGGUCCAGACUCCUACGGGAGGCAGCAGUGGGGAAUAUUGGACAAUGGGCGAAAGCCUGAUCCAGCCAUGCCGCGUGUGUGAAGAAGGUCUUCGGAUUGUAAAGCACUUUAAGUUGGGAGGAAGGGCAGUAAGUGAAUACCUUCCUGUUUUGACGUUACCAACAGAAUAAGCACCGGCUAACUUCGUG
rnacentral:rRNA from 1 species